rnacentral:tRNA from 1 species
CCGUGGUUACCUCAGUUGGUAGAGCGAUCCAUUCAAAAUGCAGAAGUCCCUAGUUCGAUACCAGGACCAAGCG